UUCCGUAGUGACCUGCGG
rnacentral:rRNA from 2 species